UUAGCGGCGGACGGGUGAGUAACACGUGGGUAACCUACCUAUAAGACUGGGAUAACUUCGGGAAACCGGAGCUAAUACCGGAUAACAUUUGGAACCGCAUGGUUCUAAAGUGAAAGAUGGUUUUGCUAUCACUUAUAGAUGGACCCGCGCCGUAUUAGCUAGUUGGUAAGGUAACGGCUUACCAAGGCGACGAUACGUAGCCGACCUGAGAGGGUGAUCGGCCACACUGGAACUGAGACACGGUCCAGACUCCUACGGGAGGCAGCAGUAGGGAAUCUUCCGCAAUGGGCGAAAGCCUGACGGAGCAACGCCGCGUGAGUGAUGAAGGGUUUCGGCUCGUAAAACUCUGUUAUUAGGGAAGAACAAACGUGUAAGUAACUGUGCACGUCUUGACGGUACCUAAUCAGAAAGCCACGGCUAACUACGUGCCAGCAGCCGCGGUAAUACGUAGGUGGCAAGCGUUAUCCGGAAUUAUUGGGCGUAAAGCGCGCGUAGGCGGUUUCUUAAGUCUGAUGUGAAAGCCCACGGCUCAACCGUGGAGGGUCAUUGGAAACUGGGAAACUUGAGUGCAGAAGAGGAAAGUGGAAUUCCAUGUGUAGCGGUGAAAUGCGCAGAGAUAUGGAGGAACACCAGUGGCGAAGGCGACUUUCUGGUCUGUAACUGACGCUGAUG
rnacentral:rRNA from 1 species